rnacentral:lncRNA from 1 species
UCAGUUUCCACCCCUGACCGUCCGAAAUGUAAAAGGAGGAGGCGUACCCGCAGUCCCGGCCACGAAGCCACCCUGGGGACCAGGAAGCAGGAAGUGACCCGCCACUUCGAUGGGAUUCCGGGAUCCCCCCAGCCACCAGGGGGCCGGGGCCGAGUGUCUCGACCCAAAUCCCUUCUCCCACCCUCGCAGAGUCUGACACAAAGUGAAAAGGCGGAAUCGAACCCCAGAGCUCAGUUCUAGCCGGCCUGGAGGAUCCCUAGACACCGAAACUGGACUAGGAGGCCGCCUCAGGAUGGAGCCAACGUACCUAUGGGGCCAGGCCCGACCUCUACUUUGGAGACUAAGGAACCCACGAGAGACCCAGCCCGGAGGCGAGUCUAGGAGGGACACAGGGAGAAGGCGCCCCAGAGCACUCACCACCUCCGCCGCGGUCCCCCGCCUCUUCCUGUCCCGGCUGGGCUCCCUCUCCGAGUUUUCCUUCGGUCCCACUUCCGGCGCUCAGCGCUGUCUCAUUGUGCGCGAUUGGGAGCCGGCUGUGCCCCCGCCCCGGCGCUCCGCCGCGCACGCCGGAAACGCGCGCAGCGCCUGGAGGGCCGCCCUCCGCCCCGCCCGCCGUCGCCCAGCUGCCGGGCCGCCCACCGUCGCCACGGCGCUCUGCCCCCGGGUAUGGGUUGUCAAGGCCAGCCCGGUUACGCCCCUCGGCGCCCGCGGGUUGUUCGCCCUCUACCCCGGCGCGCGGGCAGGGCCUUCUCCGGAUUUAUUUCAGAUUCCAUGAUGGUCUGGUGGAAGGUGAGAAGAGACCCAAAGUCCUGAACUGGCUCAUCUCUCAUUUCCAUGGCAGUGGGAGGCUGAGAAGGGCAGGGGAAAGUAUGAAUCCAGUUUUCCACCAAAAAUCAAUGCAGCUAAGGAUACUACUUGGUUUCACCUAUGCCAAAAUAAUAUUUGGAGUACCAAAUAAGGUAAAGAAGGGUAUAGAUACUUGAGAAACUGUCUUCUUUAAACUUUUCUAUGUCAACUCCCCAUUUUUUUUUCCUUUUCCUUUUUUUUCGGAGUACAGGUGCUCUAUAAAUGAGCUACUCUCCUUCAGGCCUUUUUAUUGUGAGACAAGGUCUUUUUGUUGCCCAGGCUAACCUUGAACUUGCUAUCUUCCUACCUUAGCCUUCCUAGUGCUGGGAUUAUAAGUGUGUGCCAUCACUUCUUGCUUCUCUGUUCCUUUUUAAAAUAUUUCAGUAGAUUCUCAUGUAAUCUUCUUGUUCUUAAGUAAUUAUUUUUCUUUUGAACCUUGUAGCACUUUACCACUGAGCUACACACCUCAGCCUAUUUUAUUGUUUUAUUUUGAAACAGAGUAUCCCUAAAUUGCUGAGUCUCAUGAGUUGCUGAAGCUAGCCUUUGAAUUUAGGAUCAUCCUGCUGCAUUCUGCCUCAGGCUUCUAAGUCACUGGGAUUACAGGUAUGUGCCAACAUGCCUAGCUUCAUAAAUAAUUUUUUUUCAUAAGUAAUUUUUGAAAAUGCUCUUCUUUAAAAAUAUUUUUCAUUAGUGCCUUAU